UUUUAGCAGCAGCGCCUAAGUUGGUCAGUUGGGUCGGGGGGGCGUAGUGCGAAAGUUCGUUGAUCGCACCUUUUGUGGCCGUGCAUCUGGGUGACAAUGAUAAAAGGUUCGCGUGACAGUAGAGCCCGGGAAAACUUCAGUCGCGACUAGUGUAUUUGCGGAGUAACUUCUACAUCCCAAGCUGGGACGUCCCGUUCGCGUCAGCUACCAUACCAGCAUGGAGCGAGCGUCGGAACACGAUCAAGAUUUUUCCCCUCGGAAGGACGUUCCGAAUAUACAAACACGGGACAAACCAAGCGCCAGUUUUGUGUCCAUCGACGUUGACAUGGAAUCUGACGUCGACAUUAGACCCCUUGUCACAUUCCGCGAGAAACUGUCAGCCCUGUUGCAUUCUACCAAGUUUCAGAUUGCCAUCGUGGCUUUGGUGGUUCUCGACUGCCUUCUAGUCAUCACUGAGCUGCUUGUGGAACUGGAGAUCCUGAAGCUGCAUGAACACAGCUACAUCGCGCCAAAGAUCAUCCAUUCGCUGAGCAUCUUCAUCCUGAGCUUGUUCUUGGUGGAAAUUGCUGCCAAGCUAUAUGCCUACCGACUCAGCUUCUUCCGACACAAGAUGGAGAUGUUUGACGCUGCAAUUGUCAUCAUCUCCUUCGGCCUGGACGUCGCAUUCAGGGACCCUGAAUCGGCUGCCAACGGUUCAGGACUCAUCAUUGUCCUGCGACUCUGGCGAGUGGCACGCCUCUUAAAUGGCAUUGUACUCACAGUGAAGACACAAGCGGAACGGCAACUGAUGCGCGAGUGCAAGUUGCGCGAGAAGCUCAUGCAGGACCUGCUCAAAAACCGCGACUACUGCAAUGCCUUGGAGCAGGAGAUAUCGUCCCUCAGAGAACUCCUGCACAGCCGCGGCAUCACCGAGCUUCCACCAACGGUGGUCGUCCAGGAGCCACCCUUGGGUGGGGAAGAGAACCAAGAAUCUGGCGUGCAGGAUUGAAGUUCCUUCGAAUGGUUGCUUGCAGCUCUACGCUUCUGGUGAGGAAGCCGCACGUGCACGCCCAAAUCUGCCCGAGUGGUGCUACAGAUGCGGCAAUGCAAUGUUUGUAGACAUCUCUCGCCGGGAUUGGUGUGAGAAAUGUUGGAGAGCAUUAUUUAUUGCCCUUUUUUCUUGGAUACGUGCAGCGCUUUGAACAUACUGUACCUAUUUCUGUGAGGCAGGGGAAUUGCGACAGGCGAACAUGCUUGUAUCGUGUGCAUACGUGCAUUGACAUCCAGAGCCAUACAAGCAGCGUUGUGUGUACACACGACCUGUGGGUUUACCCUAUGCACUCUUUAUGUACUAUUCUUGCGUAGCUACAGGUCAAUAUCGAACGAAAAUGGUGCAAUUGAUCGGUAACAUACACGGUGCUUUGCAAGAACAAGGUUGCAAUACCUCGCAGCAGUGCAACACGUGCAUUGCUAUGUCCAAGGUAUGAGUGGCACGCUAAUAUUCUCAAGGGCAUUGAGGGUGUUCAAUGACCGAGUUUAAUGCAACAUGUUGCUUCACGAAUUUAGUCCGGUCAUAACAUGCUGGUACUACACUGUAUGCGCUUUUAUUCAAUUACUUUCAGUACCUACAUUUAGCACUAGAGCAGUAAUGUAUUGUAAAUGGGCAGUCUGUGUUACUUAACGGUGAUGGAAUGAAGUGAAAUCUGUGUGAAGUGCCAAACCACAAGCAAUGUGGCAGCUUGGAAGUGGAGCAGUCAGUAUUCUUCUUUUUCUUUUUUUCGAAUGUGUUUUUGCACGGAACACGAUAUAGUAUCUCAACUAAAAUAUGACAUGAAUCUAUGGGAGGUAACCUUUUUAUUAACCACAGUAAAGUGCAAUGUUACGUUUAGGCUGAUCAUCUUCCUGCAAUAUUGGACGAGGAAAACUUUGCCUCAAAGUAUUUUUCUACUCUGGUGACAUUACCGGACAUUUUCUACCUAGUCAACUGCCAAGAUCUUCACACAGCCUUGCGGCCCUAAGCUGCCGUCAAUGGACAUUUAACACAGGGCACAUAAAAAAAAGCACGAAAUGUUCUAGGCAUAAAAAAGCCUCUGUGAAAUUCCACAAGCAGGCUUUCCGACAUUCCUCGAGAGAUAUGACCGAAGUUGUGCUUCAACCAGGAGUGAGGUGUAGGCAUGCAAGCUGGUUCCGCUCUACAUUCCUCACUCCUAGCACGAAGCCCUUGCUUUUCACA
rnacentral:misc_RNA from 1 species